GACGAACGCUGGCGGCGUGGAUUAGGCAUGCAAGUCGAACGGUAUCAUCCUUUCGGGGGUGAGAGAGUGGCGAACUGGUGAGUAACACGUAGGUUAUCUACCCUCAAGACGGGGACAACCCAGGGAAACUUGGGCUAAUACCGGAUGUGAGCAACUUUUAGUUGUUUGAAAGGUGGCGUAAGCUGUCGCUUGGGGAUGAGCCUGCGUCCUAUUAGUUAGUUGGUGAGGUAACGGCUCACCUAGGCAAUGAUAGGUAGGCGGCCUUAACGGGUGGUCGCCCACACUGGGAUUGAGAUACGGCCCAGACUCCUACGGGAGGCAGCAGUCGAGAAUAGUCUACAAUGGUCGGAAGACUGAUAGUGCGACGCCGCGUGAACGAUGAAUCCCUUCGGGGUGUAAAGUUCUUUUAUAUGUGAGCAGUGCUUCUUAUAUUAACAGUAUGGGGAGAGAGAUAUUAGCAUAUGAAUAAGCAACGGCUAACUCCGUGCCAGCAGGCCGCGGU
rnacentral:rRNA from 1 species